rnacentral:rRNA from 1 species
AGGUCUCGUUGGUGACCAGCGGAGGGACAUUACAGAGUUAUACAACUCCCAUACCAUCUGUUAACCUACCCAGUUAUGCCUCGGCGUAAGCUCGGUUGGAGGCACCUGCAGCUACCCUGUAGUUGCGGACUGCCAACUCCAGCCGCGGCCCGCCGGCGGUACACUAAACUCUGUUUUAUUUUAUAUUCUGAGCGUCUUAUUUUAAUAAGUUAAAACUUUCAACAACGGAUCUCUUGGUUCUGGCAUCGAUGAAGAACGCAGCGAAAUGCGAUAAGUAAUGUGAAUUGCAGAAUUCAGUGAAUCAUCGAAUCUUUGAACGCACAUUGCGCCCAUCAGUAUUCUGGUGGGCAUGCCUGUUCGAGCGUCAUUUCAACCCUUAAGCCUAGCUUAGUGUUGGGAAUCUGCUGUACUGCAGUUCCUUAAAGACAGUGGCGGAGCGGCGGUAGUCCUCUGAGCGUAGUAAUUUAUUUCUCGCUUUUGUCAGGCUCUGUCCUCCCGCCAUAAAACCCCCAAUUUUUUAGUGGUUGACCUCGGAUCAGGUAGGAAUACCCGCUGAACUUAAGCAUUCAAAAGGGGGGGGAGAAAA